rnacentral:rRNA from 1 species
AACGAACGCUGGCGGCAGGCUUAACACAUGCAAGUCGAGCGCCCCGCAAGGGGAGCGGCAGACGGGUGAGUAACGCGUGGGACUCUACCCAUCUCUACGGAAUAACGCAUGGAAACGUGUGCUAAAACCGUAUACGUCCUUAGGGAGAAAGAUUUAUCGGAGAUGGAUGAGCCCGCGUUGGAUUAGCUAGUUGGUGGGGUAAAGGCCUACCAAGGCGACGAUCCAUAGCUGGUCUGAGAGGAUGAUCAGCCACACUGGGACUGAGACACGGCCCAGACUCCUACGGGAGGCAGCAGUGGGGAAUAUUGGACAAUGGGCGCAAGCCUGAUCCAGCCAUGCCGCGUGAGUGAUGAAGGCCCUAGGGUUGUAAAGCUCUUUCACCGGUGAAGAUAAUGACGGUAACCGGAGAAGAAGCCCCGGCUAACUUCGUGCCAGCCGCCGCGGUAAAAC